rnacentral:rRNA from 1 species
AUUGAACGCUGGCGGCAGGCCUAACACAUGCAAGUCGAGCGGAGCGGCGGACGGGUGAGUGAUGCCUGUGAAUCUGCCUGGUAGUGGGGGAUAACGUCCGGUAACGGGCGCUUAUACCGCAUACUUUUAGAUGAGCCUAUGUCGUAUUAGCUAGUUGGUGGUGUAAAGGCCUACCAAGGCGACGAUCAGUAACUGGUCUGAGAGGAUGAUCAGUCACACGGGAACGGAGACACGGUCCAGACUCCGACGGGAGGCAGCAGUGGGGAAUAUUGGGCAAUGGGCGAAAGCCUGAUCCAGCCAUGCCGCGUGUGUGAAGAAGGUCUUCGGAUUGUAAAGCACUUUAAGUGGGGAGGCGUUACCUACAGAAUAAGCACCGGCUAACUUCGUGCCAGCAGCCGCGGUAAUAC